AUAUGUACAUCACUCAUCAUGUAAAAUAGUUAUGCCUGAAAUGAAGAUAUGUGACAGUUGUUUAACAGUCCCAAGCAAGUCAAUGCAAUUGAUUGAAGAUACUGUUGGAAAAAAAAACAAGAAAGCCCAGAGAGAUGAUUUCUGCAUCAUUUCACCACAUCCCAUAUUAUUAUCCUAAAGAAAUAAAUGGAUAUUCCUAUAGGAGCA
rnacentral:lncRNA from 1 species